rnacentral:rRNA from 1 species
UACAGGGGGUGCAAACGUUGCUCGGAAUCAUUGGGCGUAAAGCGCGUGUAGGCGGUCCGGUAAGUCCGCUGUGAAAGUCGGGGGCUCAACCCUCGGAUGCCGGUGGAUACUGUCGGGCUAGAGUGCGGAAGAGGCGAGUGGAAGUUCCUGGUGUAGCGGUGAAAUGCGCAGAUAUCAGGAGGAACACCGGUGGCGAAGGCGGGUCUCUGGGCCGUAACUGACGCUGAGGAGCGAAAGCAUGGGGAGCGAACGGG